rfam:Haloplasma contractile SSD-17B Contig5, whole genome shotgun sequence.
AAAUUCCCUAUAGUCGGAAAAGGUUAAGUGUAAGAAGUCAGCCGAAGUCAUAUUAGUAGGUGUUUCACACAUCUAUGAAGGAC